rnacentral:rRNA from 1 species
AGCAGCCGCGGUAAUUCCAGCUCCAAUAGCGUAUAUUAAAGUUGUUGCAGUUAAAAAGCUCGUAGUUGAAUUUCGAGAUCAAAUUGUUGGUCGUGCCUCGGUACGUACUGGCAUUAUUGAUUUCUCCCUUCUGAAGAACCUUGAUGUCAUUAAUUUGGUGUCUUGGGGAAUCAGGACCGUUACUUUGAAAAAAUUAGAGUGUUUAAAGCAGGCUCACGCUUGAAUACAUUAGCCUGGAAUAAUGAAAUAGGACGUUUGAUUCUAUUUUGUUGGUUUCUAGGAUUGACGUAAUGAUUAAUAGGGAUAGUUGGGGGCAUUAGUAUUCAAUUGUCAGAGGUGAAAUUCUUGGAUUUAUUGAAGACUAACUACUGCGAAAGCAUUUGCCAAGGAUGUUUUCAUUAAUCAAGAACGAAAGUUAGGGGAUCGAAGACGAUCAGAUACCGUCGUAGUCUUAACCAUAAACUAUGCCGACUAGGGAUCGGAUGAUGCUAAUUUUUAAUGACUCAUUCGGCGCCUUAAC